rnacentral:rRNA from 1 species
CCUACGGGUGGCAGCAGUGAGGAAUAUUGGUCAAUGGCCGGAAGGCUGAACCAGCCAAGCCGCGUGAAGGACGAAGGUGCCAAGCAUUGUAAACUUCUUUUGUCAAGGGACAAAAUCAGGCACGAGAGCCUGACCGAGUGUACCUGAAGAAAAAACAUCGGCUAACUCCGUGCCAGCAGCCGCGGUAAUACGGAGGAUGCGAGCGUUAUCCGGAUGUAUUGGGUUUAAAGGGUGCGUAGGCGGGCUGUUAAGUCAGCGGUAAAAGGCCGGGGCUCAACCCCGGCUAGCCGUUGAAACUGGCAGUCUUGAGAUUGAGAGAGGUAUGCGGAAUGCGCAGUGUAGCGGUGAAAUGCUUAGAUAUUGCGCAGAACUCCGAGUGCGAAGGCAGCAUACCGGCGGCGCACUGACGCUGAGGCACGAAAGCGUGGGUAUCGAACAGGAUUAGAUACCCGUGUAGUC